UACGUAGGUGGCGAGCGUUAUCCGGAAUUAUUGGGCGUAAAGAGCGCGCAGGUGGUUGAUUAAGUCUGAUGUGAAAGCCCACGGCUUAACCGUGGAGGGUCAUUGGAAACUGGUCGACUUGAGUGCAGAAGAGGGAAGUGGAAUUCCAAGUGUAGCGGUGGAAUGCGUAGAUAUUUGGAGGAACACCAGUGGCGAAGGCGCUUCUCUGGACUGUAACUGACGCUGAGGCUCGAAAGCGUGGGGAGCAAACAGGAUUAGAUACCCU
rnacentral:rRNA from 1 species